rnacentral:rRNA from 1 species
GACGGGGGAUGCAAGGGUUAUCCGGAAUCACUGGGCGUAAAGCGUCUGCAGGUGGUUUCCUAAGUCCACUGUUAAACCUUGAGGCUCAACCUCAAAUCUGCAUUGGAAACUAGGAGACUUGAGUAUAGUAGGGGUAGAGGGAAUUUCCGGUGGAGCGGUGAAAUGCGUAGAUAUUGGAAAGAACACCGAUGGCGAAGGCACUCUACUGGGCUAUUACUGACACUCAGAGACGAAAGCUAGGGGAGCAAAUGGG